rnacentral:tRNA from 1 species
GAUGUGGCUCAGUGGUAGAGCUCUUGCUUUGCAUGCACAAGGCCCUGGGUUUGAUUCCCUGCAUC